AUCGCGAAUCUAUAAGGAGGCAUCGGAACUAUGCUGGAGAUGCAAAACACAGAUAGGCACUAUGCUACACACAUUUUGGGAUUGUCCAGCCCUGGGAGAAUACUGUGACCGGGUGGGGAAAUUUAUGUCUGACACCACACUCUAUAGAAUACAAAAGAAGCCAACCAGCUACCUUCUGCAUAUCAUCCCCGGGCUGAUACACCACCGCAACCACAAAGUAUUGCUCAUCAUUCUCACGGUCGCUAAGAUAAACUUUGCGUUCCACUGGAAGAGCACGACGAUUCCCUUGUUAGAUACUCUCAUACAGAGAUUGAAUACGAUAAGUAUUUACGAGAGAAUGGUUAGCAAAACACAGGGUUGUGUAAGUAGGUAUGUGAGAGAUUGGGAAUGCUGGACCACAAAAAUUGGAAAGGAACAGGACAGCAACGCUAACAAUGAGGAAACUGAUAGGAAUAAAUAGCUUAUAGGGCACCACUUAAGUGUGACUUGAAUGUCUGGCCAGGCUCUAGGGUUCUAAGGCCAGGGUAUGUGUCACAAGAACUGUUGCAUAAGCAAUAUCAAUGUGAACCUAACCUCCCCUCCUUUUUUUUCCUUUCUGUAUUCCCCUCCCUUUAUGUUAUCUUUUUAUGGUAUUCUUAUGUUUUAAUGAAGCUAAUAAGGCUACAAUUAC